CCCCAGGGCCAAGCGACCGAAUUAGCCUGAAUUCACCUGAUAUCCCCCAUCCGUAGGUGGUGGAUAUCAGGAGAGGAUCCUCUUGCUUGGCGACUUCGCCAGGUGAUCGGAUCUUUACAUGUAUGGCCACCUUAAGAGAGUGGAAUAACUGUAAAUCAUAAUCACUUAUCAGCCAAUCAGCUUAUUUACAACAGAAAUCAUACAACUUUGCUCAUCUUUUAUUUUCCCUUUCUCAACCAGGAGCACCCAAAAACAUCUGGUGCGGAGACCUGCCAGGUAAGAAGAAAUAAUAUGAUAAAAACACCAAAAAUAAUUUUAGGGAAUGUCUCAAAAUCCUCAUUAGUACAUUGAAUUGAUCUGAUAUGGGCCUUUUUCAUUUCUUAACUAGGAGGAACCCGAAGAGCCCUCAGACUGUAACAUCUGUCAAGUAAGUAAAAGGGAAGGGAGCCAAAUUUUGAAAAUGCCAUCUCUAAGUAUUGUGUAUUGUGAAUGUAUUACUUUCCUUUAUAGAAGUUUUGUUUCAGAAUGUUUCAUGGGGCUAAGUUAAUACAAUAUCAUUCUUUUUUAUCCCCAAAACUAGGAGGGUCCAGAUGAAGCUCAGACUCAGGUAAGCAGCGAUGGGCAAAUUAUAUUACUUUUACUGUGUAUGUUGUGUUGCACUGCAAUACUCAGUCCAUGUUUUAAUCAUUUUAACAGAGCUGAGUUUAAUCCCCCCCUUUCUGUAUUUUCAUUAGGAGUGUCAACAUCAACCUGAGGAGUCCCCUGAUGAUGAUUCAUCAUCAUCAGAUCACUCGUGCCACUGCGAGGAAAACAGGCGGGACAUGCCACCGUUCGAGCCUGCCUUUAAGGACUCAGAGGAGAGUAGUGACAGCAGUGUAAGCAGAAAAAAAAGACUUUUACAAACUUUGCAUUCAUUUCCCCUGUGAAAUAUUUGUUUCUGAUCUUCUCUCUUUUUAUAACCAGGACGAAUCAUCAUCACAUCACUCCUGUAACUGCGAGGAAAACAGGCGGGACAUUCCACCAUUCCAGCCUGCCUCUGAGGACUCAGAGGAGUACAGCAGUGACACAAGUGUAAGCAGAAAAAAGACUUUUACAAACUUUGCAUUCAUUUGCCCUGUGAAAUAUUCAUUUUUGAUCUUCUCUCUUUUAUAAACAGGAUGAGGACAGCGAGGACUACUGUUGGGGUUUGAUGGACAUUGACUGGUUUAAACCAGGUCCAGAGAGGCCACGGCAAUAAGAUCAGCCAGCCUGAGGUCGAGCAACAUCUGGAGGCAGAAUGUAGUAGAAUUAUGUCUAAAGCAACUGGACUUUUCGGAGUUCAUCUUGGAAACUUUUCACCAACUCAUCCCAGUGGCUUCUUCAGUUCAGAUGACUGGUAGGGAAUUCCCCGGCAUUUGAA